rnacentral:rRNA from 1 species
UGCAAGUCGUACGCUUCUUUUUCCACCGGAGCUUGCUCCACCGGAAAAAGAGGAGUGGCGAACGGGUGAGUAACACGUGGGUAACCUGCCCAUCAGAAGGGGAUAACACUUGGAAACAGGUGCUAAUACCGUAUAACAAUCGAAACCGCAUGGUUUUGAUUUGAAAGGCGCUUUCGGGUGUCGCUGAUGGAUGGACCCGCGGUGCAUUAGCUAGUUGGUGAGGUAACGGCUCACCAAGGCCACGAUGCAUAGCCGACCUGAGAGGGUGAUCGGCCACAUUGGGACUGAGACACGGCCCAAACUCCUACGGGAGGCAGCAGUAGGGAAUCUUCGGCAAUGGACGAAAGUCUGACCGAGCAACGCCGCGUGAGUGAAGAAGGUUUUCGGAUCGUAAAACUCUGUUGUUAGAGAAGAACAAGGAUGAGAGUAACUGUUCAUCCCUUGACGGUAUCUAACCAGAAAGCCACGGCUAACUACGUGC